UAAGGGAUAUUGCACAAUGGGGGAAACCCUGAUGCAGCAACGCCGCGUGGGUGAAGAAGGCCUUCGGGUCGUAAAACCCUUUUCUAGGGGAAGAGGAAGGACAGUACCCUAGGAAUAUGUCUCGGCUAACUACGUGCCAGUAGCCGCGGUAAUACUUUGGAGGCGAGCGUUAUCCGGUUUUAUUGUGCGUAAAGGGCAAGUAGGCGGUUGUCAAAGUUGGGCGUGAAAGACCCUGUCUUAACUAGGGGAGGUCGUUCAAGACUAGGCAACUAGAGGGCAGAAGAGGGAAGCAGAACUCCUGAUGUAGCGGUGGAAUGCUCAGAUAUCAGGAAGAAUACCAGUGGCGAAGGCGGCUUUCUGGUCUGCACCUGACGCUGAGAGGCGAAGG
rnacentral:rRNA from 1 species